rnacentral:lncRNA from 1 species
CCCAAUCAUCUCGGAAUCCCAGCGGCCAGCCCCUCCUUCCAACGAUCCCGCCUCACAGAUCGCCUCCAACCGCAUCCGCACCAUGAUCGGCGGCCUCCCAGUGAUCCCACGGCUCCCUCCACGGAUCCCGCGCCCGUCCGCCCUCUCCUUCCUCCCACGGAUCACGCCAUCGUCCCGGACGGUCCAGCUCCAUUCCGUCGAUCCCGCGGCCCCAAGUUCGUGAUCAACGUCCCAGCCGCCCGUGAAGCACCUCAUCUCGCCGUCCAUGACACCUCCAAGCCUUCCUCCACAGCAGAUCCACGUCAUCCUCCCUGAUUUCCAGCGAUCCUGCGGGCAUCAGCUUCCGAUCCAGCCUCCUCCGCCUCUACUUCCGCCGUGAUGUAGCCGUGAUCCCGCACACGACCGCAGACCGCGCCCUCCUCCUCUCCCGGGAUCCAUCGGUCUUCGGCGAUCUAUAAGAGGAGGACGUGAGGAGAGGAGGAGGGCGGAGUUGGGCCGGAGCUCUCGGCUGGGUGGUUGGUUCCAAAGAACAGAGGAAAGAGGCCGGCGGGUCCAAGGAAACAGGGGAGCUCUUUUGGGAAGAAGAAGAAAAAAAAAGAA